GAUGAACGCUGGCGGCGUGCCUAAUACAUGCAAGUCGAGCGAACAGACGAGGAGCUUGCUCCUCUGACGUUAGCGGCGGACGGGUGAGUAACACGUGGAUAACCUACCUAUAAGACUGGGAUAACUUCGGGAAACCGGAGCUAAUACCGGAUAAUAUAUUGAACCGCAUGGUUCAAUAGUGAAAGACGGUUUUGCUGUCACUUAUAGAUGGAUCCGCGCCGCAUUAGCUAGUUGGUAAGGUAACGGCUUACCAAGGCAACGAUGCGUAGCCGACCUGAGAGGGUGAUCGGCCACACUGGAACUGAGACACGGUCCAGACUCCUACGGGAGGCAUCAGUAGGGAAUCUUCCGCAAUGGGCGAAAGCCUGACGGAGCAACGCCGCGUGAGUGAUGAGGGUCUUCGGAUCGUAAAACUCUGUUAUUAGGGAAGAACAAAUGUGUAAGUAACUAUGCACGUCUUGACGGUACCUAAUCAGAAGGCCACGGCUAACUACGUG
rnacentral:rRNA from 1 species